AUUGAACGCUGGCGGCAGGCCUAACACAUGCAAGUCGAACGAGUGGCGGACGGGUGAGUAAUGUCUGGGAAACUGCCCGUUGGGGAGGGGUAACUCCUGGAAAAGGUAGCUAAUACCCCAUACCAUAGGAUGUGCCCCGAUGGGAUUAGCUUGUAGGUGAGGUAAAGGCUCACCUAGGCGACGCUCCCUAGCUGGUCUGAGAGGAUGACCAGCCACACUGGACCGGAGACACGGUCCAGACGCCUACGUGAGGCAGCAGUGGGGAAUAUUGCACAAUGGGCGCAAGCCUGAUGCAGCCAUGCCGCGUGUAUGAAGAAGGCCUUCGGGUUGUAAAGUACUUUCAGCGGGGAGGCGUUACCCGCAGAAGAAGCACCGGCUAACUCCGUGCCAGCAGCCGCGGUAAUAC
rnacentral:rRNA from 1 species